AGAGUUUGAUCAUGGCUCAGAGCGAACACUGGCGGCAGGCUUAACACAUGCAAGUCGAGCGGGCAUAGCAAUAUGUCAGCGGCAGACGGGUGAGUAACGCGUGGGAACGUACCUUUUGGUUCGGGACAACACAGGGAAACUUGUGCUAAUACCGGAUAAGCCCUUACGGGGAAAGAUUUAUCGCCGAAAGAUCGGCCCGCGUCUGAUUAGCUAGUUGGUGAGGUAAUGGCUCACC
rnacentral:rRNA from 1 species